rnacentral:tRNA from 1 species
UGCCCGGUAGUGUAAUUGGCAACACAGCAGCUUUUGGAGCUGCCCUUCCUGGUUCGAGUCCAGGCCGGGCAG